UACGGAGGGUGCGAGCGUUGUCCGGAAUCAUUGGGCGUAAAGGGCGCGUAGGUGGCCCGGUCAGCGUGCGGUGAAAGCUCGGGGCUCAACCCCGAGUCGGCCGUGCGAACUGCUGGGCUUGAGCACUGUAGAGGCAGGCGGAAUUCCGGGUGUAGCGGUGGAAUGCGUAGAGAUCGGAAAGAACACCAACGGCGAAAGCACUCUGCUGGGCCGACACUGACACUGAGAGACGAAAGCUAGGGGAGCAAAUGGG
rnacentral:rRNA from 1 species